rnacentral:rRNA from 1 species
GACGAACGCUGGCGGCGUGCUUAACACAUGCAAGUCGAACGGAAAGGCCCUGCUUUUGUGGGGUGCUCGAGUGGCGAACGGGUGAGUAACACGUGAGUAACCUGCCCUUGACUUUGGGAUAACUUCAGGAAACUGGGGCUAAUACCGGAUAGGAGCUCCUGCUGCAUGGUGGGGGUUGGAAAGUUUCGGCGGUUGGGGAUGGACUCGCGGCUUAUCAGCUUGUUGGUGGGGUAGUGGCUUACCAAGGCUUUGACGGGUAGCCGGCCUGAGAGGGUGACCGGCCACAUUGGGUCUGAGAUACGGCCCCGACUCCUACGGGAGGCAGCAGUGGGGAAUAUUGCACAAUGGGCGGAAGCCUGAUGCAGCAACGCCGCGUGCGGGAUGACGGCCUUCGGGUUGUAAACCGCUUUCGCCUGUGACGAAGCGUGAGUGACGGUAAUGGGUAAAGAAGCACCGGCUAACUACGUG